CUCACUUGUCCGUCGUUCCUAGACGUCUUUCGACGAAUUCAACCGCGAGGAAGCGUAAUUCUACCUGUAAGAUGUUCGACUGGACAUUUUUCAAACGGAAGCAGACUUCCCAAUCAAAGAUCGCGCAUGACACCCACGGGAAUACUUGGAUCAGGUCAUUCCCAAAAGUUCUCUGGGUGGGACUCACCUCAAUGCCGGAACAGCGGUAUCAUACUUCGGGGAAUAACAUCUAUUUCCUUAUUGUUAUAUUUAUCACUUAAUUAUGACACAUGCAUCAUGGGGAAAAGAAUGCGAUAUAGAGUGAAAAAGGGA
rnacentral:misc_RNA from 1 species